UAACCAUAAACCAUCUUUGGUUUGUCCUGGGCCUUGCAGUAUGGCAUCGCCUUGAAGGAAUCAGUCUCUUGAGCGGACAGGAUCCUGUAGGGCUGACCGUUCUCCGACUCUAAAUAAUCUCG
rnacentral:misc_RNA from 1 species